rnacentral:rRNA from 1 species
GAUGAACGCUAGCUACAGGCUUAACACAUGCAAGUCGAGGGGUAACGAGAGAAAAGCUUGCUUUCCUUGUCGACGACCGGCGCACGGGUGAGUAACGCGUAUCCAACCUGCCCCCAACUAGGGAAUAACCUUGCGAAAGUAAGACUAAUACCCUAUAAUUUCCUAAGAUGUCAUCUGACGAGGAAUAAAGAUUUAUCGGUUGUGGAUGGGGAUGCGUCGGAUUAGCCUGUUGGCGGGGUAACGGCCCACCAAGGCAACGAUCAGUAGGGGUUCUGAGAGGAAGGUCCCCCACAAUGGAACUGAGACACGGUCCAAACUCCUACGGGAGGCAGCAAUGAGGAAUAUUGGUCAAUGGGCGGAAGCCUGAACCAGCCAAGUAGCGUGCAGGAUGACGGCCCUAUGGGUUGUAAACUGCUUUUAUACAGGAAUAAAGUUAGCCACGUGUGGUUAUUUGUAGGUACUGUAUGAAUAAGGACCGGCUAAUUCCGUGCCAGCCGCCGCCGUAA